rnacentral:lncRNA from 1 species
CGAUGAUGGUUCUGAUGAAACCCAUAUGGUGCUGUGUGCCCUUGCACCGUCCCCUUCAAUUAGGAUUUCAAUCGAUCCCCUCCCACAAGGCCCCCAAAUGGUUUCCAAGAUUGCUCGCCAUCUCCUUCAAUGUUGUCGACCGCUGCAACCAAGCUGAUCACCAACGAUCACAUAGAAAAGGCCCUAAGCACAAAUCUUAAAGCAUCAAUAGUAACACACAACGAUCACAAUAGUAACUAUGCUCCUUCGUUUGUUUCCUUUCCUCUACCCCCAAAGUC